ACUAGAAACUACAUAGGCGGUGGAGAAAAGGAAUUGGGGGAAAAGAAAGUUAGGGUUCAUAUCCAUUUAGUUCAAUCGAUUCGUUUGAGGGAGGUCGCCAGAGUGUGUGGAAGGGCGGCAGAUGCUACGAGGGUCAACGAUUGGGGGUCGCAGAUCGGGGUAGUAAGAUAAGGUUGCAGGGCGGUUAAUGGAGGCUGGGGAUUGUGUGUAUUUGAGGGUCGUGGCGACGUGGCCACUGUUAAUCUAAGAGAGGAUUGGGGGUCUCAGAUCAGGGUAGCAAGAUAGGGGUCAGAUUGUAUUACGUUUUCAUACAUAUAUUUAUAUGCGGAUGUUUUUGGGUAUGUAUUAUGUGGAGAUAUCAAUGGAGAGUGUUAGCUAGUUGUUAAGCGAAAUAGAAAAGAUGUGAUUAUUUUUAAUAUAAGCAGGAGGUAUCAGCUGGAUUACACCCAAAAUCGAGGUCACUAGAAUUGAAAGUGCAAGAGGAGAACAGAGAGUUUAAUCCAUUGUCACAUGGUGAGACAGGAGAAGAUUCGUUGACUCAUCUUCUUUUUCAGGUCUUCCAUUAUACCAUUGUUCUCUAAUUUCCUUUGCAACUUUUAAGCUAGUAUAUAUGAUAUAUGGUCAUUACUUCUUUUAUAAGUAGAAAGCUUUUGGGAAGGGGACUGAAAAUGCCAACUUUAUCAUCGAUUCACAUAUUAUCUGUCAGUAUCCUAUUAAUGAUUAAUAGGCCAGAAAAGGAUAUGGAUAACCUAUUUCUUGUAUGUUUUUAUGUUGCUUCCAAGACUUCUUGUGUGGCAAAUUUAUUAUUUUUUAUGUGAUUUCUACUGGCGUAAUUCUAUAUUUGAAGUAGGUAAUUUUAUCAUAGUUUGGAUUCUUUAUGUUUUAGGUUCAUGCUCGUUCUCUUUUGAACAUUUUUGCUUGUGGCCUUGUACUUGUGUAGGUUCUAAGUUGGAAACCUCUGUUAACUUCCCUAGUUUUUCAAUGCCAGAACUGUGUGAAAGCAAAUUAAUAUAGAAAAGGCAAGUCUUGUACCUUCAAGCUUGGCUUUACGCAAGGGAGUAAAAGCAGAAAACUUUAAAGGAGUUCGCACAAGGUACAUAUAAUAAUAUUCUGUUGUGCUCCAACUAAUGUGGAGACAUAUGCACAUACUUGGCAGUUGGCAUGCAGUAUCUUCUCAAGUCUAUUAUAUUUCCUGAUCUACAAUUUGAGUACCUUGUGCAUCAGCUUGGAGGAAACACUAGUACAAAAAAGUCUUUUUGCAACACCCCUAUUGCGUCGGUUCUAUGAAACACCGUCACUUAAAAGCCUUUAAGCGUCGGUUAUGACAUUCAGCGACGCAUAAACUUGAUUUUCUUUCCUUUUAGCGUCGGUCCUUUAAAUGACCGACGCAUAAAACCUAUUUCUUGCGUCGGUUUGGUUAACGCCGUAGCCUAAAAUUACUCUUUGGUGUCGGUUGAGAAACCAGCGACGCUAUAUGUCAUAGUUUUAGGCGUCUGCAAAUUUUUUACCCGACGUACAUUUAAAUAAUAUAUUAAAAAAAGAAAAUGUAAAAUCUGGAUAUAUCUCUCAAGCAGCGUAACUCCCAACUAUCACUAAUAUCAAGCCCACACCCUCAAGUUCGCUCCCACAACGAAGUUUGCUCCAUCACCCCCGAUUCUGUCUCGAUUUAUCCAUUGCUCUGCAAAUCAAUUGCUCGUUGCCUCCAUCUCGAUUUCUCCAUGUCAAUUUCUCAGUCUAAAGAUUGGGUGUCAUCUCGAUAACUUGCUACAAAUAUUCAUCUCGAAAGGUUGGUUUUCAAUUUGGUGGGUUUGAGAGCUUCAAUUUGUUGGGUUUGAGAGCUUCAAUUUGCUGGGUUCAAUUGGUUGGUUUGAGAGCUUCAAAUUGGUUGGUUCAAUUUGUUGGGUUCAUCAAAAUUAGGGUUCUCCAAAUCAGGCGAAGAAGCUGAAUAAAAAACUUGCCUGGUCUCCAAAUCAGAAGCUUUAUAUUCAACUUCAAUUUCCGCUUUGGAACUUAGUUCUGUUCUGGCAAUGAGUGAGAAGGCAAAACAAAGUCAGAAACAUAACGAGCAUGUUCAUUUUCUUGGGCCGAGUGGAUAUCAAGCAAAAAGGACUAAGUGGUGCAUUGAGGACCCCAUAGCUAGGCUAGAAAAUUCAGAAUCUCUUGACUCUUCAAUAUUAUCGAGUGAUCAUAGCAGCCGGAGUUAUGACUGGGUUAGAGCACGUACAAAAAAAAAAGAGGACGGUAGUUAUUACAUCCCAAAUAGUCAGACAAAGAAAGUCUUUGAUAAAAUGGGAGAGUUGCAGAAACAAGUUACAGAUGGGAGUUGGACGCCCAAGGGUCAUGAUGAUAUAUUAUCACGGGCACUUGGACGUAAGGAGCAUGGAGGACGUGUUAGAGGUGUUGGAGGAGGAGCAAAAAUUAAAGCUGUCUUUGGAUCAGGAAAAAGCAAACAAAGUGGGGUCAUCUCGGUGGAUGAAUUGGCCAACAUCACACAAGAAAUCACCAAGAAAAUUCAAAAGGAGUGUGAUGAAAAGAUGGAGAUGAUGAACACAAAACUUCAUGGUAUCUUUCAGCAUUUAAAACAAAUGG